CACUGGGCCUAGGAGCGCGGCCUACACUCGCUCGGAAAAGCGGGGAUAUCGUUCGCAUUUAGUUGGAAUUCUCUGGCAGCAAAGGCAGACUCACUCCACUGCAGUCCUACACAGCGGGAGAAAGAGAGAGAGAAGGAGAUAGAGCGAUGCUCUCAUGGAACUGUUAGCUUUGGCAGGCAGCGAGGGAAGAGGGGCCGGAUUGAGGAGAAAGGAAUGAUUCGGGAGAAAAAAGGAAGAGGGGGCCAGCUACAAAAAGAAGAAGGAGAGGAGAACAACAAUGAACAAUGUGGGACUUGUGGCCUGGCUCUAUCCCUUGGGAGAGCACUUCAGAGGGGAUGGUCUAUUAAAGAUGGCGGACGAGAUGCUGCAACACCCCCGGGGGCAUGAGUGAGAUGGAUGGAGGAAAAGUGGAGCCAGUCGACACUACUAGCUACUUACCUGACUGACUGUCGCUCCUCAAUGUUCAUGAUUCAUUAAGUCAACCACCAGUUUGGGAAAUGUCACCAUGCUGGAGAGGGAAACCACAAGAAAGAAACCUCUCUUCGCUGUUGUGCUUUCUUAGCGUGUGAGAUUGUGCACAGUACCUUUUAAACAUGUAGGUAGGGAGUAUUCUUAUCUUUGGCAAAUAGCCAAAUAACUAAAUAUGAGUCUUUCAUUUGAUGUAUUGAUUAUGCUGUUAUCCUGGGUGGCAGGUAACAUAGUGGUUAAGAGCAUUGGGCCAGUAUCUGAAAGCUUGCUGGUUUGAAUCCCCAAGCUGACUAGGUGAAAAAUCUGCCGAUGUGCUCUUGAGCAAGGCACUUAACCCUUAUUCCUCUGGAUAAGAGCGUCUGCUAAAAUCUUAUAUUACAUCAUGUGCUGAUCUAUAUGAUUUGCUGUAACUUGGUAUCAGAACCCUGUUCUUUAUCAAGCACUUUGCUAAACAGUGUAUCUCUUAUUUACUUCAUUCUCUCAAGUUCAAACUAAGCACAACAGAAGACCCUGGCACACUGAAAUAAACCAGAUAGAACUUAACAGCUUAAAUAAUCUUAGAAUCCCAUCCAUCUAGCUCAGCGGCGUGAGGCCUCUGUGAGGUGAUGGUGGACAGGGUCACAGCGGUCAGCCAGCCCUUCAGACACUGCUCUAAACACUGCCCUAUUGUUUCUGCUUGUCUUCCGGCCGGCUGUUAGCUCUGGUCUGUGUUUGAUGCAGUCCAGACUCUGCCGUGUGUGGUGGGUGUGCCUCAUACUCAGCCCUGUGACACUAGACACAGACAGACACCAACAAGAAGGAAGGAAGGAAGGAAGUGGAUCUCAGAGUCCACUCAGCCACCAGCCAAAUGGCCGUCCAGCAGCCAGCUCACACUAGUCAACAGUUCAACGGGUUUGUUCUGCUUUCACAGGCUUCCAGAAGAGGAAAUGGGAGAGUCAACUAAAAUAAAUUCCUGGUUAGCCCUUUCCUGCAGUCAAAUGACUAGUGGCCUCACGGGUGGAAUAUUUUAAAUAUUUUUUAUAAUUUCAUAAUUAAUAAA